CUAUAGAAUUAUAAAAUAAUCUUUUACUCUCUCCAUCACCGAAUAAAUCAAUUCCUAAAGUUUUCUUAAGUCAAACCUUUUAAAGUUUAACAAAAUUUAUAGAAAAGAGCACCAAAAUUUAUGGCACUAGUAUAAAAUGUUGUCAUAAUAUGCUGAUUUGGUAUCAUAAAUACUUGUGCUCUUUUCUACAAAUUCAAUCAAACGUAAAAAAAGUUUUGAUUUAAAAUAACUCUACGAAUUGAAUGGAUUUAUUUAUGGAUGGAGUGA
rnacentral:pre_miRNA from 1 species